rfam:Coniochaeta ligniaria NRRL 30616 unplaced genomic scaffold CONLIGscaffold_9, whole genome shotgun sequence.
GGGAAGAUGGCCGAGCGGUCUAAGGCGCUACGUUCAGGUUCUGAUUUCAGAUCAAGACUCGUAGUCUCGAAAGGGGCGUGGGUUCGAAUCCCACUCUUCUCA